GUGCCAGCAGCCGCGGUAAUACGUAGGUGGCAAGCGUUGUCCGGAUUUACUGGGCGUAAAGGAUGCGUAGGCGGAUGCUUAAGUCAGAUGUGAAAAUCCCGAGCUUAACUUGGGAACUGCAUUUGAAACUGGGUAUCUAGAGUGCGGGAGAGGAAAGUGGAAUUCCUAGUGUAGCGGUGAAAUGCGUAGAGAUUAGGAAGAACACCAGUGGCGAAGGCGACUUUCUGGACCGUAACUGACGCUGAGGCAUGAAAGCGUGGGGAGCAAACAGGAUUAGAAACCCCGGUAGUCCA
rnacentral:rRNA from 1 species